UACGGAGGGGGCUAGCGUUGUUCGGAAUUACUGGGCGUAAAGCGCGCGUAGGCGGACCUGCAAGUCGGGGGUGAAAGCCCGAGGCUCAACCUCGGAACUGCCUUCGAUACUGCGGGUCUCGAGUCCGGGAGAGGUGAGUGGAAUUCCGCGUGUAGCAGUGAAAUGCGUAGAUAUGCGGAGGAACACCGAUGGCGAAGGCAAGCCCCUGGGCCUGCACUGACGCUCAUGCACGAAAGCGUGGGGAGCAAACAGG
rnacentral:rRNA from 1 species